rnacentral:rRNA from 1 species
GAUGAACGCUAGCGGCAGGCCUAAUACAUGCAAGUCGAACGGUGUAGCAAUACACAGUGGCGCACGGGUGCGUAACACGUAUGCAACCUACCUAUUAUUGGGGGAUAGCCUUUGGAAACGGAGAUUAAUACCGCAUAAGACAGUGACAUGGCAUCAUGUAGCUGUUAAAGCUUUGGCGAUAAUAGAUGGGCAUGCGUCCAAUUAGUUAGUUGGUGAGGUAAUGGCUCACCAAGACGAUGAUUGGUAGGGGAUCUGAGAGGAUAAUCCCCCACACUGGAACGGAGAUACGGGCCAGACUCCUACGGGAGGCAGCAGUAGGGAAUAUUGGGCAAUGGACGGAAGUCUGACCCAGCCAUGCCGCGUGCAGGAUGACGGCGUUAUGCGUUGUAAACUGCUUUUUUAUAGGAAGAAGAAGCCCUUGCGAGGGAAAGUGACGGUACUAUAAGAAUAAGCACCGGCUAACUCCGUGCCAGCAGCCGCGGUAAGAC